GACGAAGGAUGCAAGCGUUAUCCGGAUUCAUUGGGUUUAAAGGGAGCGUAGGUGGUCUUAUAAGUCAGUGGUGAAAUCUCUGGGCUUAACCCAGAAAUUGCCAUUGAUACUGUAGGACUUGAGUAUAGUUGCCGUUGGCGGAAUAUGACAUGUAGUGGUGAAAUACAUAGAGAUGUCAUAGAACACCGAUUGCGAAGGCAGCUAACGAAAACUAUAACUGACACUGAGGCUCGAAAAGUGCGGGGAUCAAACAGG
rnacentral:rRNA from 1 species